ACUAGUGAUUGGAGAGGGAGCCUGAGAAACGGCUACCACAUCCAAGGAAGGCAGCAGGCGCGCAAAUUACCCACUCUCGGCACGAGGAGGUAGUGACGAAAAAUAACGAGGCAGAUCUCUUUGAGGCCUGCUAUCGGAAUGGGUACAAUUUAAACCCUUUAACGAGGAUCUAUGAGAGGGCAAGUCUGGUGCCAGCAGCCGCGGUAAUUCCAGCUCUCAAAGUAUAUAUCGUCAUUGCUGCGGUUAAAAAGCUCGUAGUUGGAUCUGAGUCUCUGGACGUGGUGCUCCUUGUGAGCAACUGCGAUCCGUGACUGUUUAUUCGGUUUGCCUCGGUUUGCCUUUACCGGUAGGCCGGGGUGGCUGAAACUCUACCUUGAAUAAAUCAAAGUGUUCAUCACAGGCGUUUUGCCUGAAUGUUCGUGCAUGGAAUAAUGGAAUAAGACUUCGGUUCGUUCUGUUGGUCUUGGAAUCGAUGUAAUGGUUAAGAGGGACUGACGGGGGCAUCCGUAUCGCUGCGUGAGAGGUGAAAUUCUUGGACCGCAGCGGGACGUCCAACUGCGAAAGCAUUUGCCAAGAAUGUCUUCAUUAAUCAAGAACGAAAGUCAGAGGAUCGAAGGCGAUUAGAUACCGCCCUAGUUCUGACCGUAAACGAUGCCAACUAGCGAUCAGGCGUUGAUAGUUUAGUCGCGCCUGGGAGCUUCCCGGAAACGAAAGUCUUCGGGUUCCGGGGGUAGUAUGGUUGCAAAGCUGAAACUUAAAGGAAUUGACGGAAGGGCACCACCAGGAGUGGAGCCUGCGGCUUAAUUUGACUCAACACGGGAAAACUCACCCGGCCCGGACACUGUUAUGAUUGACAGAUUGAUAGUUCUUUCUUGAUUCGGUGGUUGGUGGUGCAUGGCCGUUCUUAGUUGGUGGAGUGAUUUGUCUGGUUUAUUCCGAUAACGAACGAGACUCUAACCUGCUAAAUAGUCAAGCGGUAGCUUAGCCGUUGCUGACUUCUUAGAGGGAUCAGCGGUGUUCAGCCGCACGAAAUUGAGCAAUAACAGGUCC
rnacentral:rRNA from 1 species